rnacentral:rRNA from 1 species
CCUUAUGAAUAAGCAUCGGCUAACUCCGUGCCAGCAGCCGCGGUAAUACGGAGGAUGCGAGCGUUAUCCGGAUUUAUUGGGUUUAAAGGGAGCGCAGACGGGUCGUUAAGUCAGCUGUGAAAGUUUGGGGCUCAACCUUAAAAUUGCAGUUGAUACUGGCGUCCUUGAGUGCGGUUGAGGUGUGCGGAAUUCGUGGUGUAGCGGUGAAAUGCUUAGAUAUCACGAAGAACUCCGAUUGCGAAGGCAGCACACUAAUCCGUAACUGACGUUCAUGCUCGAAAGUGUGGGUAUCAAACAGGAUUAGAUACCCUGGUAGUCCACACGGUAAACGAUGGAUACUCGCUGUUGGCGAUAUACUGUCAGCGGCUUAGCGAAAGCGUUAAGUAUCCCACCUGGGGAGUACGCCGGCAACGGUGCAACUCAAA